AAAGGGUGCGUAGGCGGCCUGUUAAGUCAGGGGUGAAAGACGGUAGCUCAACUAUCGCAGUGCCCUUGAUACUGAUGGGCUUGAAUGGACUAGAGGUAGGCGGAAUGAGACAAGUAGCGGUGAAAUGCAUAGAUAUGUCUCAGAACACCGAUUGCGAAGGCAGCUUACUAUGGUCUUAUUGACGCUGAGGCACGAAAGCGUGGGGAUCAAACAGGAUUAGAUACCCCAGU
rnacentral:rRNA from 1 species